rnacentral:misc_RNA from 1 species
GUUCCGUAGGUGAACCUGCGGAAGGAUCAUUCAUAAUAAAGUGUUUUAUGGCACUCUUUAAAAAUCCAUAUCCACCUUGUGUGCAAUGUUAGAUCUCGUCAAUCUUGGCGAGAUUUUUAUACAUCAACUCAUUCUUUAACUAAUUUGUCUGAAAAAUAUUAUGAAUACUUAAUUCAAAAUACAACUUUCAACAACGGAUCUCUUGGCUCUC